ensembl:snRNA U6 U6 spliceosomal RNA
AGGUGCUGGCUUCCAAUAUACUAAAAUUGGAACGAUACAGAGAAGAUUAGCAUGGCCCCUGUGCAAGGAUGACAUGCAAAUUCGUGAAGCGUUCCAUAUUUUU